CAAGAAGGUGGGAGAAUUCAAGGAGAAGCCAUAAGAAAAGAAAAUGAAAAGCCAGGUCUUGCCAAACACCUCCCUGCAGGCUCCAGACUCUUCUCAUCAACAGCUUCCUAAACCUUUUCCUCCUCAUCACCUA
rnacentral:lncRNA from 1 species